UACAGAGGUCCCGAGCGUUGUUCGGAUUCACUGGGCGUAAAGGGUGCGUAGGUGGUGGGGUAAGUCUGAUGUGAAAUCUCCAGGCUCAACCUGGAAAUGGCAUUGGAAACUAGCGGGCUUGAGUUCGGGAGAGGGAAGCGGAAUUCCGGGUGUAGCGGUGAAAUGCGUAGAUAUCCGGAGGAACACCGGUGGCGAAGGCGGCUUCCUGGACCGACACUGACGCUGAGGCGCGAAAGCUAGGGGAGCAAACGGG
rnacentral:rRNA from 1 species